rnacentral:rRNA from 1 species
CCUACGGGAGGCAGCAGUGAGGAAUAUUGGUCAAUGGGCGCGAGCCUGAACCAGCCAAGUAGCGUGAAGGAUGACUGCCCUACGGGUUGUAAACUUCUUUUAUAAAGGAAUAAAGUGAGGCACGUGUGCCUUUUUGUAUGUACUUUAUGAAUAAGGAUCGGCUAACUCCGCGCCAGCAGCCGCGGUAAUACGGAGGGUCCGAGCGUGACCCGGAUUUAUUGGGUUUAAAGGGAGCGUAGGUGGGUUGUUAAGUCAGUUGUGAAAGUUUGGGGCUCAACCGUAAAAUUGCAAUUGAUACUGGCAGCCUUGAGUACAGUUGAGGUAGGCGGAAUUCGUGGUGUAGCGGUGAAAUGCUUAGAUAUCACGAGGAACUCCGGUUGCGAAGGCAGCCUACUAAACUGCCACUGACAUUGAUGCUCGAAAGUGUGGGUAUCAAACAGGAUUAGAUACCCGGGUAGUC